rnacentral:rRNA from 1 species
GACGGAGGAUGCAAGCGUUAUCCGGAAUGAUUGGGCGUAAAGCGUCCGCAGGUGGCAGUUCAAGUCUGCUGUCAAAGACCGGGGCUUAACUUCGGAAAGGCAGUGGAAACUGAACAGCUAGAGUAUGGUAGGGGCAGAGGGAAUUCCUGGUGUAGCGGUGAAAUGCGUAGAUAUCAGGAGGAACACCGGUGGCGAAGGCGGCUUUCUGGACAGUAACUGACGCUGAGGCGCGAAAGAGUGGGGAGCGAACAGG